AACUCAUAGUGAGGGCACCAUCUUAAUAGAUCCUUGUAUCCCUCCCAUGCAUCAUAGAGUGUUUCUAGAUCCAUCUGUACAAAAGAAGAGAUAUCAUUCCUCAACUU
rfam:Gossypium hirsutum cultivar TM-1 chromosome 8, whole genome shotgun sequence